UGCUAACCUUCACUGAUGUCCCAAAAUUCAAUGUCUGUUGUCAACGUUGCAUCCAAGCACGAACUUUUAUUGUUUGAACUAGAGUCUACAGAUGCAGGCAAUAUCGGUCUGGUCAUCAGAGCCAUUUAUGAUGGACAGGAACAUCAGCAGUUCAUGGAAAAGCUUGAUGACAGGGUAAAGAGCCAUGACAAAGAUAUCGAGCGCAUGUGCAACCAUCAUUACCAGGGGUUUAUUGACUCUAUUAGGGAAUUACUGCAAGUUCGGUCCCAAGCGCAGCAGUUGAAUAAUGAAGUACUGGAACUUGAUAAACGGAUUAUGGAUACAGCAGCUGGAGUUAUAGCAAAAGGGGAGGAAUUGGUAAAAGCUAGAAAAGUAGAAAAUAAUAUGGCUGCUGCAGUUGACAGUCUUACCAUGUGCCUUCCUGUCCUCGCUGCUUAUGCAAAACUCCAAAGACAGAUGAAAGAUAAACGAUAUUAUCCAGCACUUAAGACUCUGGAACAACUCGAGCAUCACGAUCUACCUAAAAUUACCAAUUAUCGAUUCUCUUCCCAAAUUACUCAACAAAUAUCAGUGCUGCGCGAAAAUAUAAAAGAUGCAUCUAUGUCAGAUUUGCGAGACUUCCUGGAAAAUAUAAGAAAAUAUUCUCCUAAAAUUGGAGAAGUUGCCAUGAAACACACAGCUGAACAGCUUGUCAAUGAAGCUGAAAUUAUUGGACGCAAAAAGAAACGGCAAGCUACUCCACAGUCAAAUAUUUUAGCAGGUGAUACAGAGGAGGAACUCAGCGCUCAAGAUCUCAUGGACUUUAGCCCAGUCUAUCGUUGUAUGCAUAUUUAUACGGUACUGCGUGAAAGCGAUACCUUUAAGGCUUAUUACAGGCAGCAACGAAAGCAACAAGCCAGACUUGUUCUGCAGCCUCCAAAUAACAUGCACGAGAGUAUAGUUGGUUAUCAAUCGUAUAUUCAUGGUAUUCUGGGAUUUUUUGUUGUUGAAGAUCAUAUUCUGAAUACAGGAAAUGGAUUGGCAACCCGAUCUUAUCUGGAAGAAGUUUGGUCCAUGGCAAUCUCCAAGAUCGUAAACGCUUUAAGGACAAAUUCUGCGUAUUGCACAGAUGCCACACUCAUUUUGAAAAUUAAAAAUUUAUUGAUGUUGUUUAACACUACGUUGAGGAACUACGGUUACCCUGUCAGUCAACUUUGGGAAUUACUGCAAGAGAUAAGAGUUCAUUACAAUGAAGUUCUGAUGCAGCACUGGGUUCAAGUGUUCAGGGAUAUUUUGGAUGAAGAUAGUUUCCUACCAAUUCAAGUUUCGUCGCAAGCAGAAUAUGACCAUGUACUGGGAUCGUUCCCGUAUCAUGACGAGGCGCUGCAAAAAGCCGAGUUUCCAAAGAGAUUCCCAUUUUCCGCAAUGGUACCGAAAGUAUAUCAACAAGUCAAGGAAUUUAUAUACGCCUGUCUAAAAUUCUCCGAGGAUUUAAAUCUCACCCAAACCGAAGUUGACGAAAUGAUUCGCAAAUCAACCAAUCUAUUACUCACCCGAACCUUCAGUGGUUGCCUUUCUUCACUGUUCCGAAAACCAUCGUUAGCUUUGCUUCAAGUGGUACAGAUUAUAAUAAAUACUGGCUAUCUUGAAAACUCCACCAAAUACCUGGAGGAAUUUGUUUCCAACAUAACAGGAACGCCUCAUGAAGGUCAAUUAAGCUGUGGCGGGGUUCAGUCAGCGAUGUUUAGAGUUGCGAGAGAGGAUGCAGAGCGACAAAUAUGUGACAAACUGAAGCGAAAGCUGGACGAAUUUUUAGAGUUGGAAAAUUACGAUUGGAAUCUAGCCGAGCCUCAAGGACAUGCGUCGAGUUUUAUAACAGAUCUCAUAGCAUUUUUGCAGAGUAUUUUCAUGUGCUUCACGAAUCUGCCUGAAGAGGUUGCGCAAGUUGCGUGUAAAUCAGCAUGCUCGCAUAUAGCUAAAUCGAUUCAAGGAAUUCUGAUUAGCGACGACGUAAAACAAAUCUCCAUGGGUGCACUGCAGCAAGUUAAUCUAGAUACCAUCCAAUGCGAACAAUUUGCAGCAUCCGAGCCAGUUGUGGGAUUACCAGAAGGAGUAUUGCUCCAGUAUUUCGCCGAGUUGAGACAAUUGUUGGAUCUGUUCAUGAGCUUGGAUUGGCCUACUUAUUUUCAUGAUUACGGUCACGAGUCUAGUAAAUACAACUUGGUUACGCCAAACACAGCCUUGAUACUGCUCGAAAAAUUGAGGGAAUCUGAUAAAAAAACGGUAUUCUCUGUUUUAAAGAAAAGUGAACGUGAUAAGAAGAAGCUUUUGGAAACAGUGUUGAAGCAGUUGAGACAGCUGGCACAGACCACGCAACAGUAAAAAAUUACACCCAUUUUUUGUUGCGUAAAAUAGGCCAUGCUAAAGGUUGAUUUGUGACUCGCAUUGGUUUUAUGCUACUGAAUCGAGCAAUAAUUAUCAGCGUGGUUUCAAUCAUUCGCGUCUUAUCAAUAAUGUGACAAUGCUGUGAUGAUGGUAAAAGUCGAGAGAAGAGAAAGAAUCAUCAUUUUAUUUUACCUGAUCAGUGGCCACAAAAAUGGCGAACUCCUUAUCGUUAACGUGCAUGGCAUCCGUUGCCUCGGAAAGGUUUGGGCUGGUGAAUUUCAUGCCGACAAAAGAUGGAAUCCGAUUACCGACUGCCUCCAAGAACUCAACCAUGUUUACUAAAUAUGAAACGAAUACAUUUAUUUGACUGAAAGGCAAGAAGAAUUCUACUUCUACGUCCUUUCUUCAGAAUUCGUUUAUCAAAAGUGCAAAGAAAUUUCUUUUGAAAAGUAAUUCCAAAGAUUGUUAUGUACACUACCGCUGAUAACAGCGUGAUAAAGAUGUUAGGCUAAGUUGUAAUAUACGCGAAACUGUAAUAAUUUCAUCAAAGUUUUCAAGUUUGUUAUCACUCCCUUGAAUUUCGUGAUAAUAUUUCAAUGGCUGAUCCCCAAUAGAUAAGUAAAUAUUUCCAUUUGCUGAACACGAUUGUUUGCUUUUGAAUUUAUGAAAUCAAUUAAUGAAAUCAAUAAAUCUUUACUUACUAUCAACAUUCGAGAACAUCGGUACGUGGUAGUAAAGCAACGGUGUUCUGGGGGCGGCUUGACCGACGAUUCGCAAGUACUCUACUAAUUGUUUGGGCGUCUUAGGCUUGAAAUAAAGUUCCGGAAGACAGAGGAUAGAAUCGACGCCAAGCUUUUCAGCAUGCUUUGCCUGCAAUAUUGUGAGAAAUUAAUUCCUUUACACAAUAGUUGAUUAUUCGAAUCCAUUAUUAUUAUGAGAAUGAAUAAUAUAAUCUUCUACAAAUUCGAGCCGCAUCUAUCUUUUACACCAAUAUUUACCCAUGUCUUGCAUAGAAUCUUGUGUAUAAGGGUAUAAAAUGCGAACGCACCAAUUCGAGGACGUCGGGUAGGGAGCCUCCCCCAAUUUGCACCAUCAAGUGUUGUUUCGUUGAUUUAACAGCGCGUACCCAAGCUUCGAGUACGGAUUUUCUUUCUUCAACAUUCAUCGAGGGUCCCUCGCCCAGCGACCCGUUGACUGUUGAGAAAUAAAUAUGAAUAUGGUGUCGAUAAAAUGAUCCGAACGAUCGACAAUUUUCGAGAAACAAAGAUAUUAGAAGAAACGGGCUCUGAGCCCCGAUCGCGAGUUUAGCACUAAUUAGGUAUAACUUACAUGGUCCGAAAACAACGAACCUAUAUUGUAAAUGGUCUUUUGAAGCACUCCGAAGUUUGUAAUAAAAUAUUCUAAAUUACACUCUA
rnacentral:misc_RNA from 1 species